AACGAACUCUGGCGGCAGGCUUAACACAUGCAAGUCGAGCGCUCCGCAAGAGGACCGGCAGAAGGGUGUGUAACGCGUGGGAACGUACCUUUUGCUACGGAAUAGCGCCGGGAAACUGGAAUUAAAACCGUAUGUGCCCUACGGGUGAAAGAUUUAUCGGCAAAGGAUCGGCCCGCGUUGGAUUAGCUAGUUGGGGGGGUAAUGGCCUACCAAUGCGACGAUCCAUAGCUGGUCUAAGAGGAUGAUCAGCCACAUUGGGACUGAGACACGGCCCAAACUCCUACGGGAGGAAGCAGUGGGGAAUAUUGGACAAAGGGGGCAAGCCUCAUUCAGCCAUGCCGCGUGAUGGAUGAAGGCCUUAGGGUUGUAAAGCUCUGUCACCGGAGAAGAUCAUGACUGUAUCCGGAGAAGAGGCCCCGGCUAACUUCGUGCCAGCCGCCGCAGUAACGC
rnacentral:rRNA from 1 species